GAUGAACGCUGGCGGCGUGCUUAACACAUGCAAGUCGAACGGGAAACCUUUUAUUGAAGCUUCGGCAGAUUUAGCUGGUUUCUAGUGGCGGACGGGUGAGUAACGCGUGGGUAACCUGCCUUAUACAGGGGGAUAACAACCAGAAAUGGUUGCUAAUACCGCAUAAGCGCACAGGACCGCAUGGUCCGGUGUGAAAGACUCCGGUGGUAUAAGAUGGACCCGCGUUGGAUUAGCUAGUUGGCAGGGUAACGGCCUACCAAGGCGACGAUCCAUAGCCGGCCUGAGAGAGUGAACGGCCACACUGGGACUGAGAAACGGCACAGACUCCUACGGGAGGCAGCAGUGGGGAAUAGUGCACAAUGGGGUAAACCCUGAUGCAGCGACGCCGCGUGAAGGAAGAAGUAUCUCGGUAUGUAAACUGCUAUCAGCAGGGAAGAUAGUGACGGUACCUGACUAAGAAGCCCCGGCUAACUACGUG
rnacentral:rRNA from 1 species